UACGUAGGAUCCAAGCGUUGUCCGGAUUUACUGGGUGUAAAGGGUGCGCAGGCGGUUCUGCAAGUCAGGCGUGAAAUCCCCGGGCUUAACCUGGGAAUGGCGCUUGAAACUACGGGACUGGAGUAUGGCAGAGGGAGGUGGAAUUCCACGUGUAGCGGUGAAAUGCGUAGAGAUGUGGAGGAACACCGAUGGCGAAGGCAGCCCCCUGGGCUAACACUGACGCUCAUGCACGAAAGCGUGGGGAGCAAACAGG
rnacentral:rRNA from 1 species